GAUGAACGCUGGCGGCGUGCCUAAUACAUGCAAGUCGAGCGAACAGACGAGGAGCUUGCUCCUCUGACGUUAGCGGCGGACGGGUGAGUAACACGUGGAUAACCUACCUAUAAAACUUGGAUAACUUCGGGAAACCGGAGCUAAUACCGGAUAAUAUAUUGAACCGCAUGGUUCAAUAGUGAAAGACGGUUUUGCUGUCACUUAUAGAUGGAUCCGCGCCUCAUUAGCUAGUUGGUAAGGUAACGGCUUACCAAGGCGACGAUGCAUAGCCGUCCUGAGAGUGUGAUCGGCCACACUGGAACUGAGACACGGUCCAGACUCCUACGGGAGGCAGCAGUAGGGAAUCUUCCGCAAUGGGCGAAAGCCUGACGGAGCAACGCCGCGUGAGUGAUGAAGGUCUUCGGAUCGUAAAACUCUGUUAUUAGGGAAGAACAAAUGUGUAAGUAACUAUGCACGUCUUGACGGUACCUAAUCAGAAAGCCACGGCUAACUACGUG
rnacentral:rRNA from 1 species